rnacentral:misc_RNA from 1 species
UCCCCGUUAUCCUGGGCAGUCCUUCCAGAGUUCCCCUUUCGGGGUUCUACUUCCAGCAUGUCAAGCCUAGGUGAGGUUCUUCGCGUUGCAUCGAAUUAAACCACACGCUCCGCUGCUUGUGCGGGCCCCCGUCAAUUCCUUUGAGUUUUAGCCUUGCGGCCGUACUCCCCAGGCAGGGCACUUAAUGCGUUAGCUGCGGCACCGGAGGGGUCGAUACCCCCGACACCUAGUGCCCAACGUUUACGGCGUGGACUAC